rnacentral:rRNA from 1 species
UACGAGGGGAGCUAGCGUUAUCCGGAAUGAUUGGGCGUAAAGCGUUUGUAGGUGGCUUAUAAAGUCUACUGUCAAAUAUCGAGGCUUAACCUCGAACCGGCAGUGGAGUAUUCAUAAGCUUGAGUGUGGUAGAGGUAGAGGGAAUUCCAUGUGGAGCGGUGAAAUGCGUAGAGAUAUGGAAGAACACCAGCGGCGAAGGCGCUCUACUGGGCCAAGACUGACACUGAGAAACGAAAGCUGGGGGAGCGAAAAGG